GUCGCCUGCAGUCCGUGGAGAAAAGUAGCUUUUUUUUCUGGUAAAGUUACACUGGGUACAUGGGCCACAUCAAUCAUUACCGUCCGGCACAUUGUCUAGGAAAGUACUACGUGGCUGUGGUGGAAGAUCAGACCUCACCACCAUUUGACUGAUGUUGGGGGCGUGUCUGAAGGCUACCCGUCGGGGUUCUUUAAUCGUCUUUUCCAGUUGUGGAUCAAUGAUCAAGACGUGCCAGUGUUUUAAUGAUGUGGUCCAACUGUUUACCAAGUGGGGAGAACUGAAGGAAGCAUUGAACAUGUUGGUCUGGAGGGAGGGAGGUUUGGGGAGAACUGAAGGAAGCAUUGAACAUGUUGGUCUGAAGGGAGGGGAGGUUUGGGGAGAACUGAAGGAAGCAUUGAACAUGUUGGUCUGGAGGGAGGGAGGUUUGGGGAGUACUGAAGGAAGCAUUGAACAUGUUGGUCUGGAGGGAGGGGAGGUUUGGGGAGAACUGAAGGAAGCAUUGAACAUGUUGGUCUGGAGGGAGGGGAGGUUUGGGGAGAACUGAAGGAAGCAUUGAACAUGUUGGUCUGGAGGGAGGGGAGGUUUGGGGAGUACUGAAGGAAGCAUUGAACGUGUUGCUCUGGAGGGAGGGGAGGUUUGGGGAGUACUGAAGGAAGCAUUGAACACGUUGAUCUGGAGGGAGGGGAGGUUUGGGGAGAACUGAAGGAAGCAUUGAACGUGUUGGUCUGAAGGGAGGGGAGGUUUGGGGAGUACUGAAGGAAGCAUUGAACGUGUUGCUCUGGAGGGAGGGGAGGUUUGGGGAGAACUGAAGGAAGCAUUGAACAUGUUGAUCUGGAGGGAGGGGAGGUUUGGGGAGUACUGAAGGAAGCAUUGAACGUGUUGGUCUGAAGGGAGGGAGGUUUGGGGAGUACUGAAGGAAGCAUUGAACGUGUUGCUCUGGAGGGAGGGGAGGUUUGGGGAGAACUGAAGGAAGCAUUGAACAUGUUGGUCUGGAGGGAGGGAGGUUUGGGGAGAACUGAAGGAAGCAUUGAACGUGUUGAUCUGGAGGGAGGGGAGGUUUGGGGAGAACUGAAGGAAGCAUUGAACGUGUUGGUCUGGAGGGAGGGAGGUUUGGGGAGUACUGAAGGAAGCAUUGAACAUGUUGAUCUGGAGGGAGGGGAGGUUUGGGGAGUACUGAAGGAAGCAUUGUCGCUGUCUGAAACGCUCAUCCAGACAGUCCUCUGGGUAACCCCGCUGUCUGAAACACUCAUCCAG
rnacentral:lncRNA from 1 species